rnacentral:rRNA from 1 species
AGAGUUUGAUCCUGGCUCAGGAUAAACGCUGGCGGCGUGCCUAACACAUGCAAGUCGCACGUCCUGGGUCUUCUCGCAAGAGGGGGCGCAGGGAGUGGCGGACGGGUGAGUAACACGUGGGUGAUCUGCCCCGAGGUGAGGAAUACCGGCGAGAAAUCGCCGACAAUACCGCAUAGGCUUGCUUUCGUCAGAGGGAGCAAGCGAAGCCCUUGUCUUUUGCGAGAGGAGGGUGCCUGGGGAUGAGCCUGCGGUCGAUUAGCUGGUUGGGGAGGUAAAGGCUUCCCAAGGCGACGAUCGAUAGCUGGUCUGAGAGGACGAGCAGCCACACUGGGAUUGAGAACGGCCCAGACUCCUACGGGGGGCAGCAGUGAGGAAUUUUCCGCAAUGGGCGCAAGCCUGACGGAGCAACGCCGCGUGCAGGACGACGGCCUUCGGGUUGUAAACUGCUUUUCUGGAAGACGAGAACGGACGGUAUUCCAGGAAGAAGCCCCGGCUAACUACGUGCCAGCCGCCGCGGU